AGUAGAAGAGCACUUCAAACUCAAUCAACUUUUUCUUUUAUUUUUCAUUUUCUCUCACAUGUGCUCUGAAAUGGGACAUUGCAGUCGAAGUUCAGUUUUCUGUUAUCCAUAGAAAAACAUAAUCAGGUUAUCGGAAAG
ensembl:ncRNA E02A10.10 ncRNA